rnacentral:rRNA from 1 species
UCCAGGAUUUUUGAUGGUCUUGCUACUUGGAUAACCGUAGUAACUCUAGAGCUAAUACAUGCAUCAAUCCCUGACUUCCUGGAAGGGGUGUACUUAUUAGAUGGAAACCAGUGCGGGUUCGCCCGGAUUAUGGUGAUUCAUAAUAAUUUUCGGAUCGAUCAAUUGAUCGAUGCAUCAUUCAAGUUUCUGCCCUAUCAGCUUUGGAUGGUAGGGUAUUGGCCUACCAUGGCAUUAACGGGUAACGGAGAAUUAGGGUUCGAUUCCGGAGAGGGCGCCUGAGAAACGGCGACCAGUUCCAAGGAAGGCAGCAGGCGCGUAAAUUACCCAAUCCUGACACAGGGAGGUAGUGACAAUAAAUAACAAUGUCGGGCCUUCGGGUUUGACAAUUGGAAUGAGAACAAUUUAAAUCCCUUAUCGAGGAUCAAUUGGAGGGCAAGUCUGGUGCCAGCAGCCGCGGUAAUUCCAGCUCCAAUAGCGUAUACUAAAGUUGUUGCAGUUAAAAAGCUCGUAGUUGAAUUUCUGGUUUCGGAGUGCGGUCUGCCCCGUGGGGUAAGUAUCAGCGCUCGGGAGCCAUCCUCGAGGAGAACAUGCCUGUGAUUGAGUUCAUGGGUAUGGGAGCCUCGUCUUUUACUGUGAGCAAACUAGAGUGUUCAAAGCAGGCUUACGCCGUUGAAUACAUUAGCAUGGAAUAAUAAAAUAGGACUCUGGUCUAUUUUGUUGGUUAGUACUCCAGGGUAAUGAUUAAUAGGGACAGUUGGGGGUAUUCGUAUUCAAUUGUCAGAGGUGAAAUUCUUGGAUUUAUGGAAGACGAACUACUGCGAAAGCAUUUACCAAGGAUGUUUUCAUUAAUCAAGAACGAAAGUUAGGGGAUCGAAGAUGAUUAGAUACCAUCGUAGUCUUAACCAUAAACUAUGCCGACUAGGGAUUGGUGGUUGUUUAUUUUGACUCCAUCAGCACCUUUAUGAGAAAUCAAAGUCUUUGGUUCCGGGGGGAGUAUGGGUCGCAAGGCUGAACUUAAGAAUUGACGGAAGGGCAACACAAGAGUGAGCUGCGCUUAAUUGACUCACACGGGAAACUACAGGUCCAGACUAGUGAGGAAUGGACGAUGAAGCUCUUCUGAUUCUAUGGCUUGUGAUGCCAUUGGUCGU